rnacentral:lncRNA from 1 species
AUUCUGAUUCACCUCCUAACUUAGCAACAUGUCUGGAAACCAUAAUGUGUACUAUGCACUUUGCUGAGAACACAGUGUCAUGUGUCUUCCUUCAAUACUUCGGAGGGAGAGAUAAACUAGAUAUACAAAGAAGUCACAGGUGAUAUGUGCUAAGAACACAGUGAUGAUAGAGUCAGAGCAGUUGGGACAGGAUGGCCAAGAACCCUCUCUCCUGGAGUCUCAUUCAGGCAGAGUCCCAGGGAAAUGCACCAGAGGAACUUCUGGCUGAAUGGAAGGAAGAAUCAUCAAUGAAACGGGGAGAAUAAACAAACUUGUUUUUGUUCAUUUGAACUGAUGCAAAUAGUGAGAUGGUACCUGGAAAUCAUAAUUUGAAGAGAUCUAAAGCCCAAAAAGCAAUUGCCUGUGCAGGCAGCAGAGUGGCAUGUGCGUCUCACCCAGCUGGCCCCAGCAGUAACCGGGGACUGGCCAGAGUCACCUGGACAGAUUUCAACAGAAUGAUGCUCCCUGAUGCUCAGAGCCUUGAGAUUGUGGAGGAAAUCCUGAGGUUUAAAACAACAGAAACUGAUUUCUCACACAGUUCAGGAGGUCAGAAGUCUGCAAGCAAAGUGUCUGCAUGAUUGUUUCCUUUUGGAGGCUCUGAAUAAUUUUUUUCUCCCUGGUGCCAAGGAUCUGCCAACCAUCCUUGGUAUCCUUUGACUUGUAGAUGCAUCACUCUGAUGCCUUAUUUACAUGGCCUUCUCUCCCAGUGUUCUUCCUUAUAUCGUUUAUUCUUAUAAGGACAUUUGUUGCUAAAUUUAGCAUUCACCUUCAAAGCCCAAAAUGAUCUGGUCUCCAGA